GAUCCUGGCUCAGGAUGAACGCUAGCGACAGGCUUAACACAUGCAAGUCGGGGGGCAGCGAGGAAGUGGCAACACUUCUGUCGGCGACCGGCGCACGGGUGAGUAACGCGUAUGCAACCUGCCCUUCACAGGGGGGAUAACCGGGAGAAAUUCCGACUAAUACCGCAUACGUCCUCCGGGGGCAUCCCAGGGGGAUGAAAGAAUUAUCGGUGAAGGAUGGGCAUGCGUGAUAUUAGGUAGUUGGCGGGGCAACCGG
rnacentral:rRNA from 1 species